UACGUAGGGUGCAAGCGUUGUCCGGAAUUAUUGGGCGUAAAGAGCUUGUAGGCGGUUUGUCGCGUCUGCUGUGAAAUUUCGGGGCUCAACCCCGAACUUGCAGUGGGUACGGGCAGACUAGAGUGUGGUAGGGGAGACUGGAAUUCCUGGUGUAGCGGUGGAAUGCGCAGAUAUCAGGAGGAACACCGGUGGCGAAGGCGGGUCUCUGGGCCGAUACUGACGCUGAGGAGCGAAAGCGUGGGGAGCAAACAGG
rnacentral:rRNA from 1 species